rnacentral:rRNA from 1 species
GAUGAACGCUGGCGGCGUGCCUAAUACAUGCAAGUCGAGCGAACAGAUGAGGAGCUUGCUCCUCUGACGUUAGCGGCGGACGGGUGAGUAACACGUGGAUAACCUACCUAUAAGACUGGGAUAACUUCGGGAAACCGGAGCUAAUACCGGAUAAUAUAUUGAACCGCAUGGUUCAAUAGUGAAAGACGGUUUUGCUGUCACUUAUAGAUGGAUCUGCGCCGCAUUAGCUGGUUGGUAAGGUAACGGCUUACCAAGGCAACGAUGCGUAGCCGACCUGAGAGGGUGAUCGGCCACACGGGAACUGAGACACGGUCCAGAGUCCUACGGGAGGCAGCAGUAGGGAAUCUUCCGCAAUGGGCGAAAGCCUGACGGAGCAACGCCGCGUGAGUGAUGAAGGUCUUCGGAUCGUAAAACUCUGUUAUUAGGGAAGAACAAAUGUGUAAGUAACUAUGCACGUCUUGACGGUACCUAAUCAGAAAGCCACGGCUAACUACGUG